rnacentral:rRNA from 1 species
CCCUUAGAUGUUCUGGGCCGCACGCGCGCUACACUGAUGCAUUCAACGAGUUUCUUCCUGGUCCGAGAGGAAUGGGUAACCUUUUGAAAGUGCAUCGUGAUAGGGAUAGACUAUUGCAAUUAUUGGUCUUCAACGAGGAAUUCCUAGUAGACGUAGUUCAUCAGACUGCAUCGAUUACGUCCCUGCCCUUUGUACACACCGCUCGUCGCUCCUACCGAUUGAAUGCUCAGGUGAGUCAUUCGGACUUUCAUCAUGCUGGUUUCCAGUUUUGAUGAAGGAAAGUCUUGCGAACCUUAUCAUUUAGAGGAAGGAGAAGUCGUAACA